GAUCAGUUGAAGCAGCAGCCAAGGCAUGUUUUAUUAAAAUUUUCAGGCUUGUAUUGUCACCAAGCGGAAAAAUGCAGUUAAUAUUGCUGUCUGCUAAAUCUAGCAAUUGUUGGUGUUAGCAUUUGAUGAGAAUACUUUGUGCUUUUCUCAUGAUAUUUUACUUAUGCUAGAUAAUUAAUUACUGAUUUUCAUUUUUAUGUCUUUUCAACUAAAAAAAAACCUGAUUGUCUCGAAGAAUUUUCACUUUUGUAGAAUGUAUUUAUUCCAUUUUUGUUGUAUUUUACUUGAUGCUGG
rnacentral:misc_RNA from 1 species